CCUACGGGUCGCAGCAGUGGGGAAUAUUGCACAACGGGCGCAAGCCUGAUGCAGCCAUGCCGCGUGUAUGAAGAAGGCCUUCGGAUUGUAAAGUACUUUCAGCGGGGAGGAAGGUGUUGUGGUUAAUAACCACAGCAAUUGACGUUACCCGCAGAAGAAGCACCGGCUAACUCCGUGCCAGCAGCCGCGGUAAUACGGAGGGUGCAAGCGUUAAUCGGAAUUAUUGGGCGUAAAGCGCACGCAGGCGGUCUGUCAAGUCGGAUGUGAAAUCCCCGGGCUCAACCUGGGAACUGCAUUCGAAACUGGCAGGCUAGAGUCUUGUAGAGGGGGGCAGAAUUCCAGGUGUAGCGGUGAAAUGCGUAGAGAUCUGGGGGAAUACCGGUGGCGAAGGCGGCCCCCUGGACAAAGACUGACGCUCAGGUGCGAAAGCGUGGGGAGCAAACAGGAUUAGAUACCCCAGUAGUC
rnacentral:rRNA from 1 species